rnacentral:rRNA from 1 species
AUUGAACGCUGGCGGCAGGCCUAACACAUGCAAGUCGAGCGAGCGGCGGAAGGGUGAGUAAUGUCUGGGAAACUGCAUGAUGGAGGGGGAUAACUCCUGGAAACGGUAGCUAAUACCGCAUACCAUCGGAUGUGCCCCGAUGGGAUUAUCUAGUAGGUGGGGUAAUGGCUCACCUAGGCGACGAUCCCUAGCUGGUCUGAGAGGAUUACCAGCCACACUGGACCUGAGACACGGUCCAGACUCCUACGGGAGGCAGCAGUGGGGAAUAUUGCACAAUGGGCGCAAGCCUGAUGCAGCCAUGCCGCGUGUAUGAAGAAGGCCUUCGGGUUGUAAAGUACUUUCAGCGGGGAGGCGGUACCCACAGAAGAAGCACCGGCUAACUCCGUGCCAGCCGCCGCGGUAAUUC